UCUCCCUUCCCAAUCCACAGCCCCCAUGCUCCUCCCUCCUCCCUCCCUCACCCGCCGCCACGCUCCCUCCCACCUCCUCCUCCUCCUUCUCCGCCCUAGAAGCCCAGCCGCCAACUGCUACUCCUCCACCGCCUCGCCUCUUCCUCCUCCUCGCCUUUCAAUCGCUCGCACGCAGGUCACCCGACAACAGGGGCGGUCAGGAAGGCUUCCCAGCCUGAUGGAGGAGCACGCCGCCUGUCCCGAUCCGCGUCCGUCCCGACGCAGCCAGGCGGAUCUUUCUCGGGAGGCAGCGAGAGUUGCAGGCGCAGCGGUCGGCGUGCAUGCGCUGCUCAGCUGGGUCGUCGUGGCCUCCUGGGCGCGGCCAUGGUCGGCAACGCCUCCUGGUGGCCCAUCAACGCGGCGCAGUUCGUGUACGUCGUCAGCGGCUCCUUCCCGGAGGCGUGGACGGGGUUCUCGCGCAAGGCGUUCGCCAGUCUCUGCGGGUUCGUCAGGCUCUCCCUCGUCUAAUUAGUACCUACAGGCGCUCUGGAGUGAUUUUUGUGCUGCAACUUAGAGAUCUGUUACUACACAACAGUAAUCGACGCCACGGCCGAGCAAGAGGAUUCCGUUGCUGUGCACGACUUGGUCGGGUGGUAGUCAUUUUCUCCGCCUUGGACAGCACCAGCUGAGCUAUAGGAUGAUGUGAUUAAUUUUUCCUGCAGUUUGUAGGGAUUGUAUGCUCCACCGUCUAAAAUAAAUCUAGCCAACAGGUGGUUGAGAGGCAUUUUGUGGUGCCACUAUUUUCUUUCAGGUUUAGGCACUUUGACUCCACUAACUUUAGCCAGAUGCUAUUCAGUACAACCUUCAUGUGCACCUUGACUUACAUGGAUAAUCUUGUACUACAUGUACUUUUUGUGAUUUCAAGGGUAAAUUACUAGCCAAUUUUGGUACUAGCCAAAUCAAAGAUUUAUGUCCUAAAAAGGAUUUACUCAGCUUCAUGCAAUUGAAUUGUUAUCGCAUAUUUACGAGCAAGCUCAUAUUUAUAUCUCCAUGAUCUCUUAACAGCGAGAAAAGGGCUUACUGCUCCCUUCUAAACUCAUAUAUUUAUUGAUAAGUGCUCCAGUUUCUGUAUCUAUUUCUUGUGGUUUAUGUAUCUAUUUCUCUCUCGAGCUAGCUGAGUGGUCAACACCGAGGAAGAUGGGGAAGACAGAGCCAGCAAGGAAGAUGGCUCAGCCCUGCCGACGAUGCCCACCGGCUACUUCCGUUUGUCGCCAUCGUAGGAGGGGCGCACCAUCGAGGAGCAGCAGGGGAGGAGAUGAGGAUACACCGCUGGACUCCCUCUUCACUUUAUGGUCGCAUCUUCCCCGUCUGUGUACAAUUUAUUCCACUGCUCGACUCAGUGUCCGUCUCAACAAAACCUAACAUGUCGGUGCGAAAUUCUGCUAUGUUCAGUGGACAUGUAUGCUUAAUAUCCCCUCACUGGACAAGAUUGGAUUUUAGUGUAUACAAGCCCUCCUGUCAGCUGCUCAGACACAGGUGAAUGCACUGGACUUUUUGAGAUCGAGGCCGGGCGUCCAUUGACAACCUGCCCAAGGUCUGGAUUCACCGAGGAGUACAACCGGACAUGUGGUCGGCUGCCUGCUGUGGUGAUGAUGGCGGGUCUUCCGAAUCGCUUCCUCAGCCUAACAAUGCAGCCUACAAACUAACUGUUAUCAACAUCAGUAAUGAUGCUGGCCCUUCGCACCGUCGCUUGAAUGCCAAGGAAAACAAGAAAAAGGAGCAUGCAUUGCAUGGGGCACCCGGCACUAUAUACUUUCUAAGCUUUGAUGGUCAUUGAUGGGGAAACAAAGUGAGGCUAUACAAGAAGCGGCUCACACGUUUGCCACUCAAAGAAUGCCAAGGCCCUAUACACAUCACCUGCAAUUAUAUAUACAAUUCUUCUUAGUGUUGUUACCUUUCAUUUCCAAUAUUUCUUUUCUCAGUGUUGUUACCUUUCAUUUGCAGUAUUUCUUGGUCAGUUGUAUUUACCCAAAGCUUUAUGACUUGCCAAUAAAAUCUAGAGAUGGAAAUCCCUACAUCAAAGCUCGUCUAAUCAAAGGAGUCGAUAACAGGGCAACAAUUACGAGAGGCUGGGCAGGCUUCUUCCCCGCAGCUAAUACGAAGGAAAGAAAAAUAUAUGCCUUCACCUUGAAGUGCAACUACAAGCGCCUGCGUCUCACCGUGCACGACCUCUGAGCAUCGUAUUCAGUCUACUAAACUGCUUAAUUAGCCUAUGAAGUUCUGUGUGUAUAGCUUCACCAUAAGAACCUGUUUGCUUUUGGCACUGGACUCUUUGGUCAUCAUGUUCAGUCUACUAAACUACCUAAAUAGCCUAUGAAGCUCUGUGUGUAUAGCUUCACCCUAAGAACCUGUUUGCUUUUGGCACCACUCUCUGCUUUUGGCACUACUCUCUGAUAUGUAUAAAUUUGGAAUCCAUGAUGCUAUGUUUGAUCCAUGUAAUAUAUAUAUAUAUUCCAACUGCGUCUAAA